rnacentral:rRNA from 1 species
AUGAACGCUAGCGACAGGCCUAACACAUGCAAGUCAGGGGCAGCACAAGGAGCAAUCUGAGGUGGCGACCGGCGCACGGGUGAGUAACACGUAUGCAACCUGCCUGUAAGCGGGGAAUAACCCGUUGAAAGACGGACUAAUACCGCAUAAUACUAAAUUACUGCAUGGUAAUUUAUUUAAACAUUUAUGGCUUACAGAUGGGCAUGCGCAUGAUUAGCUAGUUGGAGAGGUUACGGCUCCCCAAGGCAACGAUCAUUAGGGGUUCUGAGAGGAAGGUCCCCCACACUGGUACUGAGACACGGACCAGACUCCUACGGGAGGCAGCAGUGAGGAAUAUUGGUCAAUGGACGAGAGUCUGAACCAGCCAAGUCGCGUGCAGGAAGAAUGUCCCUAUGGAUUGUAAACUGCUUUUGCAGGGGAAUAAAGUGCAUCACGUGUGAUGUUUUGUAUGUACUCUGCGAAUAAGGAUCGGCUAACUCCGUGCCAGCCGCUGC